rnacentral:misc_RNA from 1 species
UCUCCGUAGGUGAACCUGCGGAGGGAUCAUUACUGAGUGAGGGCUUCGGUCCGACCUCCAACCCUUUGUGAAUCGUACUCGUUGCUUCGGGGGCGACCCUGCCGUCCGCGGCUGAGCGCCCCCGGGGUCAAUCAAACACUGCAUUCUCUGCGUCGGAGUACCUGUUAAUAAACAAAACUUUCAACAACGGAUCUCUUGGUUCUGGCAUCGAUGAAGAACGCAGC